rfam:Streptomyces albireticuli strain MDJK11, complete genome.
CUUGAGGGAGCCGAGCCAGAGCGGGCGGCCGGCGGGCCGGUUCUGGCCGUAGGUAGCGAGGAGGGCCUGGGCCUC